UACGUAGGGCGCAAGCGUUGUCCGGAAUUAUUGGGCGUAAAGAGCUCGUAGGCGGUUUGUCACGUCGGAUGUGAAAGCCCGGGGCUUAACCCCGGGUCUGCAUUCGAUACGGGCAGACUGGAGUGUGGUAGGGGAGAUCGGAAUUCCUGGUGUAGGCGGUGAAAUGCGCAGAUAUCAGGAGGAACACCGGUGGCGAAGGCGGAUCUCUGGGCCAUUACUGACGCUGAGGAGCGAAAGCGUGGGGAGCAAACAGG
rnacentral:rRNA from 1 species